rnacentral:rRNA from 1 species
AGAGUUUGAUCCUGGCUCAGGAUGAACGCUGGCGGUAUGCCUAACACAUGCAAGUCGAACGGAACCUUCGGGUUUAGUGGCGGACGGGUGAGUAACGCGUGAGAAUCUGCCUCUAAGAUGGGGACAACAGUUGGAAACGACUGCUAAUACCCGAUAUGGCGAAAGCUGAAAGAUUUAUCGCUUAGAGAUGAGCUCGCGUUGGAUUAGCUAGUUGGUAGUGUAAUAGACUACCAAGGCGACGAUCCAUAGCUGGUCUGAGAGGAUGAGCAGCCACACUGGGACUGAGACACGGCCCAGACUCCUACGGGAGGCAGCAGUGGGGAAUUUUCCGCAAUGGGCGCAAGCCUGACGGAGCAAUACCGCGUGAGGGAGGAAGGCUCUUGGGUCGUAAACCUCUUUUCUCAAGGAAGAUAAUGACGGUACUUGAGGAAUAAGCAUCGGCUAACUCUGUGCCAGCAGCCGCGGUAAUACAGAGGAUGCAAGCGUUAUCCGGAAUGAUUGGGCGUAAAGAGUCCGUAGGUGGUAAUUCAAGUCUGUGGUUAAAGCGUGGAGCUCAACUCCAUAUCGGCCAUGGAAACUGAAUAACUAGAGUGAGGUAGGGGUAGAGGGAAUUCUCGGUGUAGCGGUGAAAUGCGUAGAUAUCGGGAAGAACACCGGUGGCGAAAGCGCUCUACUGGACCUUAACUGACACUGAGGGACGAAAGCUAGGGGAGCGAAAGGGAUUAGAUACCCCUGUAGUCCUAGCCGUAGACGAUGGGAUAACUAGGUGUUGCGCGUAUCCGACCCGUGCAGUGCCGUAGCUAACCGGCGGUUUAAGUAUCCCGCCUGGGGAGUACGCACGCAAGUGUGAAACUCAAAGGAAUUGACGGGGGCCCGCACAAGCGGUGGAGUAUGUGGUUUAAUUCGAUGCAACGCGAAGAACCUUACCAGGGCUUGACAUGUCUAGAUCUCGGCGAAAGUUGAGAGUGCCUUCGGAGCUAGAACACAGGUGGUGCAUGGCUGUCGUCAGCUCGUGUCGUGAGAUGUUGGGUUAAGUCCCGCAACGAGCGCAACCCUCGUCCUUAGUUGCCAUCAUUAAGUUGGGCACUUUAGGGAGACUGCCGGUGACAAACCGGAGGAAGGUGAGGACGACGUCAAGUCAGCAUGCCCCUUAUGCCCUGGGCUACACACGUACUACAAUGCUACGGACAAAGGGCAGCCAACCAGCAAUGGCGCGCUAAUCCCAUAAACCGUGGCUCAGUUCAGAUUGCAGGCUGCAACUCGCCUGCAUGAAGGAGGAAUCGCUAGUAAUCGCAGGUCAGUAUACUGCGGUGAAUCCGUUCCCGGGCCUUGUACACACCGCCCGUCACACCAUGGGAGUUGGUCACGCCCGAAGUCGUUACCCUAACCGAAAGGAGGGGGACGCCGAAGGUAGGGCUGAUGACUGGGGUGAAGUCGUAACAAGGUAACC